rnacentral:rRNA from 1 species
UACGAAGGGGGCUAGCGUUGUUCGGAAUCACUGGGCGUAAAGGGCGCGUAGGCGGCCGAUCAAGUCGGGGGUGAAAGCCUGUGGCUCAACCACAGAAUUGCCUUCGAUACUGUUUGGCUUGAGACCGGAAGAGGUUAGUGGAACUGCGAGUGUAGAGGUGAAAUUCGUAGAUAUUCGCAAGAACACCAGUGGCGAAGGCGGCUGACUGGUCCGGUUCUGACGCUGAGGCGCGAAAGCGUGGGGGAGCAAACAGG